UAUAAAUGCCUCAUUCAUUAAUUCAUUAAUUCAUUCAUUCAUUCAAAUAACUCUCAUUAAUUUACAACUACAUGUCGACUAACUGUCAUUAACUUACAACUACGUCAAAUAACAUGUCAAAUACGUCAAACUAUAUAAAUGCCUCAUUAAUUAAUUAAUUCAUUCAUUCAUUCAAAUAACUGUCAUUAACUUACAACUACAUGUCAAAUAACAUGUCAAAUACAUGUGAAACUACUAUAUAAAUGCCUCAUUCAUUAAUUCAUUAAUUCAUUCAUUCAAAUAACUCUCAUUAAUUUACAACUACAUGUCAAAUAACAUGUCAAAUACAUGUGAAACUACUAUAUAAAUGCCUCAUUCAUUAAUUCAUUAAUUCAUUCAUUCAUUCAAAUAACUGUCAUUAACUUACAACUACAUGUCAAAUAACAUGUCAAAUACAUGUGAAACUACUAUAUAAAUGCCUCAUUCAUUAAUUCAUUAAUUCAUUCAUUCAAAUAACUCUCAUUAAUUUACAACUACAUGUCGACUAACUCUCAUUAACUUACAACUACAUGUCAAAUAACAUGUCAAAUACAUGUCAAACUAUAUAAAUGCCUCAUUAAUUAAUUCAUUCAUUCAUUCAUUCAUUCAUUCAAAUAACUGUCAUUAACUUACAACUACAUGUCAAAUAACAUGUCAAAUACAUGUGAAACUACUAUAUAAAUGCCUCAUUCAUUAAUUCAUUAAUUCAUUCAUUCAUUCAAAUAACUCUCAUUAAUUUACAACUACAUGUCAAAUAACAUGUCAAAUACAUGUCAAACUACUAUAUAAAUGCCUCAUUCAUUCAUUCAUUCAUUCAUUCAUUCAAAUAACUCUCAUCAACUUACAACUACGUCAACUAAAUCCCAAUUAUUUACAACUACAUGUCAAAUAACUUGCAUUAAGUUUCAACUACAUGUCAAAUAACUCUUUAAUUUACAACUACAUGUCAACUAACUCUCAUUUGAGUAUUAGUAGACUGUUUGGUUAGAGUUAGUAGAAUAAGUUAACAUAGUCGCAAAGUUACUUAUAGUCAGUAGAAUGUCUGUUGGGGAGCAUCAAAAUAAAGUGUCAGCAGAUAUUAAGCAGACAGUCUACUAAUUCUGUAAUGACUGGUAGUUGACAUUAAUUUACUGUAAUUAGUAGAAUGUCUAAAGUGGACUAUCAAAAUAAUGUUAUACUUGCACGUUUUGGCUAUUUUGGUGUGUUGAGAACAGGUUUUGCAUUCAGGAUCAGACUCAUUUUCAAUUUGGAUUGCACUAGGUCAAAUUAUGUGACUUUUGUGACUUAGUGUUAGCAUUUAUACACACUGUAUAUGUUAUGCAAAAAUGCAAUAUAUAAUUGUUGAUACUUUUAAAAACAUGAAAAUCUGAGAGUUCAAAUUUUUGGGGUGUACUGAAAAACCACAAGUAAUACAACUAAGCAUAUGUUGAACCAAAAAAAAAACAACAUCUGUAAAUAACGGGCAAAAAAGUACACGCCCAAAUUUCUAAACUUGUCCACAUCAUCCGGGAAGUGUGUUGCGUUUUCCAUGGUUUAAAACCAGAGCUGUGUGAAGCGGAAAACCGAGCUCUCGAGAUAGACCAGCUGUCAGAUCUGUACCUGUAAACCCCACACAGACAUAAACCCCACAUCCACAGCACCUGUUUUCCACGCAAACAAAAUCACUCACACUUCCUGUUGAUGUUUUUCUGUGUCAUCUUCAUUCGAGGAUUGCAAAAAUAAAUAGGCCAAUUAAAAUUUAAAUGUAAAUAUAUUAUCAUCUCGCAACGCAAGGUUUGAGCAUGCAGGUUCUUCAUGGAAUAAAGGCUGUCUUCAUUCAAUACAGCAGAUGAAGACAUGAUCGUCUGAAUUAAGACAUUGUGACUCACGUUCCAUUAUUCUGUUUUCAUUGAGGACUGCUGAUGUGAGGACAGUGACAGAAGCCUCCAGCAGAGGGCCUACAGCAAGAUCAUCCUCCCAGCCAAAUCUAAUUGAAAGAAAUUAAGGUUUUUGAGGAAAACAUUCCAGGAUUUUUCUCCAUAUAGAAGACUUCACUGGGGACCAACAGGUUGAAGGUCCAAACUGCAGUUUCAGUGCAGCUUCAAAGGACUUUGCACUAUCCCAGCCGAGGAAUAAGGGUCUUAUCUUAACGAUUGAUCAUUUUCUACAAAGUGAACGCGCAAAGACUAAGUCAAACGCUCUUUACAAAAAAAGGUAAAACAAUGUCGGACGAUUUUGAUGUUGGAGGAGAAAUGAGAUGGAGUUUUUGGAGCAAUGAGAUGGAGCAAAUUUUAAUAGACUUUUGUUUUUACCCAUUUCCUUCACAUCGGCAGUUGGAUUCACUCUUUUCCCAAAGUCAUCUGUAAUUUUUAAUUGUCAAUACAACUGAAUAAUUUGAGAAAACAUAAGCUGACUUCAUAAAUUCAUGUUGAUUUUCCUAAAAUCCUGAUCCAUUUAGAUCCACUCUGAUGGACAACAACAACAA